AAGCACACAUUUGAACUACUGGGGUGGGUGUGGGAGAGGACAAUCAGUAUUAACCAUUUAGAUGCAAGCUGCUUCGGACAGAAGGAAGUAACUCAACCGCUCAUCUUAACGUUCCUCUCUCAUCUAGAUUGGAAACUUGUUUCACUUAAUGCCAAACCACUGCCAGUUAGGAGAAUCAAUUACAGCCAUUUUCCAAAAUAAAAUAUUAGACUGCAUUUGUUACGUAUGUGCGUGAUGUGUCCAUACUUUAAUGAAACUUCUGUGCAGUAGUUCAGCAAGACAAUUGUAAUUCAAUUGUAUAUUGCUUCACCUCAUUGUAUUGUGAGACUUCUGAAGAAGGUAUGAAGAACACAUGGCCAUCCAGCUGCUUCUGAACAACUCCCAUCAUCUUUCACUAUUAACUGUGCUGGCUAGAACAGUUUUGCAUUGGGGGGGGUCACAGGUUCCUUGAUGUUACUCUAAAUCCUUGCAUCUACUUGGGAGACAUUGUGCUGUGUUAGAUUCCUGAUAAAGUCAAUGGAUUGCAGGUAACACUGAAAAAUGCUGAGUCAUCCUGGAAGAGCGGCCUUGAGGGUUGCAUUUUUUUUUUAAAAAAAAUUGUAUCCAAUUUCAACUUCUAGAUGUUAUUUUGCAGGACUGAAGAAGCUCAGUAACGGGCGGGGGGUUUACUGAGCUUGGGCAGGGAGUUUACUGAGCUUUGUCUCCAUUGCUAAUGGUGAGGAACAGCAUGGGGAGAGGGACACAUUUCUAUCCCCCCCAACCCCAUGUUGUAGUAUUAGGGAAUAACUAGAAUUUGUUGAAAACUAUAAUUGUAAGCAGGAUAUUUAGGCACCUUUUACUUGUACAGCUUUUAGGAUUCUAUUUUUUUGUAAGAAAGAAAAUUGAGAACUCCAAAAGGAUUUGCAUAAUAGAACCAUCUCUGCAGCAGUCAUUUAUUUGGGGGGGGGGAGAUGACUGAGGCUGGAUAUCCAAUGUGGUGCACUGCAUAGAGUAAGGAAGUGGUCCCCAACCUUGGGCCUCCAGAUGUUCUUGGACUUUCAACUGCAAGAAAUCCUG
rnacentral:lncRNA from 1 species